rnacentral:tRNA from 1 species
GGUGGCUCAGUGGUAGAGCACUUGCCUUGAGUGCCUGAGGCCCUGGGUUCAAUUCCUCAGCACCA